UUAUAAGAGACAGCAGCAGCCACGGUAAAACGUAGGGUGCAAGCGUUAAUCGGAAUUACUGGGCGUAAAGCGUGCGCAGGCGGUUUGUUAAGACAGAUGUGAAAUCCCCGGGCUCAACCUGGGAACUGCAUUUGUGACUGGCAAGCUAGAGUGUGGCAGAGGGGGGUGGAAUUCCGCGUGUAGCAGUGAAAUGCGUAGAUAUGCGGAGGAACACCGAUGGCGAAGGCAGCCCCCUGGGCCAACACUGACGCUCAUGCACGAAAGCGUGGGGAGCAAACAGGAUUAGAUACCCGCGUAGUCCCUGUCUCUUAUAC
rnacentral:rRNA from 1 species